rnacentral:rRNA from 1 species
UACAGAGGGUGCAAGCGUUAAUCGGAGUUACUGGGCGUAAAGGGCGUGUAGGCGGAUAUUUAAGAGCGUUGUGAAAACCCUGGGCUUAACCUAGGACGUGCACCGCAGACUGGAUAUCUGGAGUACUGUAGAGGGUGGAGGAAUUUCCGGUGUAGCGGUGAAAUGCGUAGAGAUCGGAAGGAACACCAGUGGCGAAGGCGGCCACCUGGACAGAUACUGACGCUGAGGCGCGAGAGCGUGGGGAGCAAACAGG